rnacentral:rRNA from 1 species
UACCCCGGUUGGAAACUUAAGCAUAUCAAUAAGCGGAGGAAAAGAAACUAACAAGGAUUCCCCUAGUAACUGCGAGUGAAGCGGGAAGAGCUCAAAUUUAAAAGCUGGUAGCUUUGUUACCCGCGUUGUAAUCUGGAGAAGCGUUUUCCGCGUCGGACCGUGUACAAGUCUCUUGGAACAGAGCGUCAUAGAGGGUGAGAAUCCCGUCCAUGACACGGACUGCCGAUGCUUUGUGAUACGCUCUCGAAGAGUCGAGUUGUUUGGGAAUGCAGCUCAAAAUGGGUGGUAAAUUCCAUCUAAAGCUAAAUAUUGGCGAGAGACCGAUAGCGAACAAGUACCGUGAGGGAAAGAUGAAAAGCACUUUGGAAAGAGAGUUAAACAGUACGUGAAAUUGUUGAAAGGGAAACGCUUGGAGUCAGUCGCGUCUUCCAGGACUCAGCCUUGCCUUCGGGUUUGGUGUACUUCCUGUUAGACGGGUCAACAUCGAUUUUGGUCGGCGGAUAAAGGGAAAGGGAAUGUGGCACCUUCGGGUGUGUUAUAGCCUUUUCUCGUAUACGUCGUCUGGGAUCGAGGACCGCAGCGCGCCUACUAGGCCGGGGGUUCGCCCCACGUACCGCGCUUAGGAUGUUGACAUAAUGGCUUUAAGCGACCCGUCUUGAAACACGGACCAAGGAGUCUAACAUGCUCGCGAGUGUUAGGGUGGAAAACCCUUGCGCGUAAUGAAAGUGAAAGUUGGGACCUCUUUGAGGGCACCGACGCCCGGCCCAGAAGUUUUCUGACGGUGCUGCGGUAGAGCGCGUAUGUUGGGACCCGAAAGAUGGUGAACUAUGCCUGAAUAGGGCGAAGCCAGAGGAAACUCUGGUGGAGGCUCGUAGCGAUUCUGACGUGCAAAUCGAUCGUCAAAUUUGGGUAUAGGGGCGAAAGACUAAUCGAACC